rnacentral:rRNA from 1 species
AACGAACGCUGGCGGCAUGCCUAACACAUGCAAGUCGAACGAAGGCUUCGGCCUUAGUGGCGCACGGGUGCGUAACGCGUGGGAAUCUGCCCUUUGGUUCGGAAUAACAGCUGGAAACGGCUGCUAAUACCGGAUGAUGACGAAAGUCCAAAGAUUUAUCGCCAGAGGAUGAGCCCGCGUUGGAUUAGGUAGUUGGUGGGGUAAAGGCCUACCAAGCCGACGAUCCAUAGCUGGUCUGAGAGGAUGAUCAGCCACACUGGGACUGAGACACGGCCCAGACUCUUACGGGAGGCAGCAGUGGGGAAUAUUGGACAAUGGGCUCAAGGCUGAUCCAGCAAUGCCGCGUGAGUGAUGAAGGCCCUAGGGUUGUAAAGCUCUUUUACCCGGGAAGAUAAUGACUGUACCGAGAGAAUAAGCCCCGGCUAACUCCGUG